rnacentral:lncRNA from 1 species
UUGAGGCCGGUUUUAUGAAUCUUUGUUCACCAAAACUUUUGGGACACCUUUGGUAUCAUUUCAAGUUUCUCCAUAUCUUUUCUCCCAACCUCCAUCCAUGCCAACUUAUGUCUUUCCCACCAUCUACAUACUUUGUAUAAAAUGUAAAGGUAUAUAUGCAUUAAAUUGAAGAUUGUGUUUCUUGAGACUUGUUUUACGUGAUGCUCAGGCAAAUAUAAAUGCCCAUAUUGGUUCUAUCAAGGCCAGGGAUUGCAAAAUCGGUACCGGCAAGCAUGCCGGCUAAUGACUAGUAUGAUAAGGUGCCGGUCCAUGCCGUAUCGAACCAUGGCGUUUCGGAACCAUGGGGAGGGAGAGGGAGAGGGACAAAGAGGAAGAAGGAGAGGGACAGAGAGGAAGGAUAGGGAGGGGGAGAGAGAAAGAAAGAAAGGAGACUCCUUGCUGCCGUCGUUGACGUCGCCCUCAUUGUCCAAGGAGGAUCAAGGAUUGAGGCCAUCGUUCAACCACAUGCGCCUUAGAUACCCAAGAAUUCUACCAAAAUAGGAGAUUAGGGCUUGAAUUGGGAGGAUUGAGGUGGAAUAGGGAGGAUUCUAUGGAAGAAGAGAGGGAGGUGAUUGGAUUUGGGGAAGAGAAUGGUGGGGGAUUGGAGAGGAAGAGAGAGGGGGCCAUCGUUCAGAAAGGAUCAGGGCUCGAAUUGGAAUGAUCGGGGCCAUCAUCUAGCCCUAGAUGCCUCAAAAAACCUAGAAUUCUACUGGAAUAGGCCAUUAGGGCUCGAAUUAGGAGGAUUGGGACAGGAAUAAGGAGGAUCUGGUGGAAGGACAGAGGGAGAUCGGAUUUGGGGAAGAGAAUGGNNNNNNNNNNNNNNNNNNNNNNNNNNNNNNNNNNNNNNNNNNNNNNNNNNAUCGGGGCCAUCGUCCAGCCCUAGACACCUCAAAAACCCUAGAAUUCCAUUGGAAUGGGCCAUUAGGGCUCGAAUUGGGAUCAGGGCGGGAAUAGGGAGGAUCUAGUGGAAGGACAAGGGAAGGAGAUCGGAUUUGGGGAAGAGAAUGGUGGGGGAUUGGAAAAGGGGGAGAGAGAGAGGCCGAAAGGACUUACCAUGAGAUUGGAAGGGGGGGGGGGGCGAGAGGCCGAAAGGACUUACCAAUUUGAAAUUGAGGUGAGAGGGGAGGCAAUGGUUUUGAAGCCGUUGGGAGCGGGAGGACUUACAGUUUUGAAGAGUCCUUUGGCUGUACUGGUAACCGACUGGUUCGUUUUAGUACGGACUCGGACUAACCAGUUCAACAUGAUUCGACAAUCCUUGGUUAAGACCAAUGACUCCAUGUAGAUGUUUUCUUAUCUGAAUUAUUGUGUUCGAUUAUGUAUAUCUCCUUGCCAUUUAGUACAUCAGAAGAGGCCAUCAAAUAGACUUGGCAACUGUCGCUACAAUCUUGUAGCUCUUUGCCGCUUUGUUGUACAUCAUUUUGUAUAAGAUGUGGCACAAUCGAUGAGACCAAAAUAUGGUAUGUCGUACCGUACCAUACCGGAUGUACCGUACCGGUUUAGGUGGCGUAUCGAACCUCGGUAUGUCAAAAAAAUUCUGUACCGUACCAAUUCUAUGCUAGUGUGACACCGGUAUAGAGUCUGGUACAAGUACGGCGACCCUUGUGGCACAUUUUCUUGAAGUAACAGAGAUAACUAAUUCUUCUACUUAACCAAGGCAUCUGAUGAUGGUAAGUCUUAUCUGCCAUCAAUGUCUUUCCAUCAGAAGUUUCCAUAAUUUGUAGAGUUAAAAGCACUUGGGCAUCACUAGCAUCCUUGCUAUAUGUUGUCAUGGCAAAUCAGCUGAAUUUUACUGUUAUUGGUUGUCACUUUGUAGCACUUGUGCACUAUUGUUUUGAAAUUCUUUCCUUAUGUUUCAUUUGUAAGUGACUUUUCUGAAGAUCCUCUUUCCUGUACUUUAUUGUCAAAUUCUUCUCGAAACUUAAUUGGCCAUCAUAACUGGGAUCUUCCAUAGUUUUCCAUAGGGAACACAUGAUGUCAAAUUGUUCCUUGAUGUGGGACUGCUCCUCGAACAAUGAGCCACAGGUGCACCAAAAAAAAAAAACAAUGAGCCACAACAUAAAUGAUCAAGUCAUCGUCCGAGUGGGAAAAAGAAAUUGUAGGGACAAUUAGAUCUUGCACUGAAUAUAUUUCGGCAUUUCUUUUAUACCACUCUACUAAUUAAAUGGCAUUGCUAGCUACUUUUGCCCUUGCAAAGUUUUCAAUCAAACUGCACUGUGCCAAUAUAGGUUUUGUUACCUGCAUUUUAGAUGUCACGAAAUAAGUCAUUUUAUAAUGUUGUUGCUGAAGAAUUAUUUUGUAUGUUCUCACCUCCCCCGUUCGGGCUCUCACUGGGCAGACUGGUUGUUUUUGUGGUUCUGCUGCUUGCCAUUUUAUAUCUGCCUAGUGAUCUGACUUAUUCUAAGCUUCUUGGUAGUUUGCUUUUCUUGGGACUUGAAUUUUUAGGGAUGAACUAGGCAGAGUUUCUUCAAUGCUGGCUCUGACAAAGUCUAUGCAAUUAGGAACUGGAGACAGUUUAUGAAAUUUGAUAUUUCAAACUAAUAAAUAUGUUUCUUGUCGCUGAUUCUACUCUCCCUAUUCUUCCUUCAUUUCAGUCCUUGUUUUUCUCUUUGGUAUUUCCUAGAAGGUUCGUAUUGUUGAUGGAAAAAAGAAAAUCUCUAUUGCACUGGCUGGAAAAAACUUCAGAGAUGGGAGAAACAAUGAGAAGGGAAUGAAUGGACUGACAAGCACUCAGUUAAUAGUUAAUUGGACCUCUGAUCAAUGUAACUGGAGGUUUUAAGUUGUCGGCUUGGAUGCUCGUGGUCAACAUCAUAUGCUUGUUCCAUCUAAUAUUAAUUACUCAUUAAGUUAUUAUAAUAAGCUAGGCCAGAUGCCAAAACAUCAUUUGGUUGCAAACAGCUUUCUUAGCCAUGUCAUGUGCUCAUUAUUUGGCAAACUGUCAGAAUACUUAGGUCAUGAUGGUGCAGAAAAUAUUUCUGUAUUAUGUGGAGUUACAUUCUUGAUUUUUAAAUAGAUUCUUAAUCUAAAGUUUCUUUUGCUGAUUUCUCUCAGAAAAGUUUUCUAUGAUGAGAUGUGCAAGCUUUUUCUGGUAAACAAAUAUGUGAGCUUUCUUUAGUAGACUCUUCAUCUUAAAUAUGCAAGCUUUUUAGCAUUAUUAUUUUUGCAGUGUUUUUUUGGGUCCAAUUCUUACUGGAUCUUCCCUUUUAUUUAUGCUACAUAUGUUAUAACAUAGCAACUUCUUUCGACAUUGACUCUAUCCGAGGUCAAAUUGGAGCCUCCUUGAACCAUUCUCACCAUUUUUAUUGCAUAACAGCAUGGAAACAUGAUACAGAUUUUGGAAAAUCAAUGUUGACAAUGUUAUCCAUGCUUUAUUCCUGUGUUGGGUCCUUGCACUAAUGGCUAAGAAUCACUGCAAUUGGCAUGCUUAUCUCCUCUGCAGUUACCUUAUAUGCUUUUCCAUUUUCAAUUUGGUAACAUUUAUUCACAUUUGAAGAUUUAAGUCUUGCUAUUUUGGUUUCUUCUUUCAGGAUCUGUGAGAUUUGUGGCUCAGCAGCACGGAACGUGGUUGGCACAGGCGAGACUGAGUUCAUUGAGCAGUGGAAUGAAACAAGCAAUACUGCAGCACCACCUGCACAGCCAUCUGAAACCCGGAGCUUUUGGCAGGGGCACCGGUUCCUCAAUUUCUUGCUUGCCUGCAUGGUGUUUGCGUUUGUCAUCUCCUGGCUCUUUCACUUCAAUGUUCCUGGCUGAUACCAGUAAAAAUUGCCAGGUUCCCAUAUUAUCAUGACGUAUUCAUCUCUAUUGCUGGUAGGAACCCAUUGGCCAGAACCAUUACAAAGAAACCCGAGAAGAUUAGGUGGAAUUGCCAGGAGGCAAAGCUCUGUUAUGAAUCUGUUGCUAGUGAAGACGGGGGCAGGUGGAAGAACAAGAUGGCUCCUAUUAGGAGUCGAAACAUAUGCCCGUUUAUUGUGAAUAGAGAAAAUGAUCAUGCUGCAGAUUUAGUUCUGCCUAUAAGCUUCCAGGAGUCAGAUCUUUGAUGCUGCUGAGCGUUCCACUGCCGUGUUGAUGUGUGUCGUAUUCUUCCAAUUAUGUCAUAUUUUCCUUGUUUCUCAUCUAGGCUUCUGAUGCAUUCCGAGCUUGAAUGUCCUCUCAGUUGCCUGAUUCCAAGCAUUGGAAAAUUCUCUGUAGUACCUGGUUAUAAUCAAACUGGAUGUUUUCAAACUGGUGGCUUUGAUCUAUCAAAUAUGUCAUUCAUGAGAGAGCUGAUAGCCUAACAUCUAACUAAUGGACGAGCACUAAAAAGUCAAAAUUCACCAUCUUUCCCGCAGGGCAAGCAUGAGCAGCCUGUCAGCCAAGUUCUACAUACUGUGGGUGUGUUUGUAUCUUCUCUCCGGCUGAGAUACAUUACCAGUAUGGAUUACUCGCUGAUGAAAUAAUGCAUGUCAGAAGUUCGCCCUUGCCAUAAAUCCGUGUUUCUGGAUAUUACAGGAUGCAAUCCAAAAGGGGAAUGAAUAAUUUGCUGUAUUAGACUUAAAAUUGUAUUUGCGUUCCAAUUCAUCUUUUUCGCUACUUUCCCACCUUCCAUCCAUGCCGGUCAAGAUGUAGAAGGUAAAGCUCCAUCUUGAUAUCGGUCUUCCGUAACAGAGUUGCAGACUAUUGCCAUUGGUAUUGGAUGCUUCAUCCAACACCUUAAAACAGAGUCUAGACUUUCAAGCUUACGGGAUAUCCGGUGUUCAGGAAAAACGAGGAGCUGCUAUCAGCUGGAGUCUGUUAAAUCUUAUUGAAAUGUAUGUUCUUUUCUUUUCUUUCCUCUUUUUUCAACAAAGGAUUGCAUAUUCUUUCUGGUCGUAUGAUAUUAUUUUUAGGACUAUUAUCAUCUGUUUCUCCAUAUUCGUCCAAAAUACAGAUGAUCCUACACACCCAGUACAGAGAAAUACGAACUCAUCUGACUGAUUAAAACAUAUCAACACCAGGAACACUGAAGUGGAACUACUGAAGCAGAUUAGUGAUAACCAAAGAAAGGAUGGAUAAAUACAAGAUAAAAGAGUGAAUACAUGAUAAUAAAGGUAUCCAUUUCAUCAGCGAAUUCUCCACUUAGUCACUUAACAGAAUGACUGAAUGACGACAUUCUACAAUGAAUACCUAAAUGUUAUGCAGUGUAACUUAGUGGGGCUGGUUGAAUAAACCCCUGUAUAGGAAUCAAUUGCUGCUCCAAAAUCUUUAGCCUGAACCGCACUGUCUCCAUAUUUCUUGGAGUUCCAAAGUCUCCUGCAUUUGGCUGGUCCACACUUGGAAAGAGAGCUGCCAGAGAGGAAUUAUGAUGGUAACAUGAUCUCAGAGAAACAUGAUAGGGAAAAGAUGGCAAAUGAAAUUUUAUUGACACUCAAGAAAUUACAAAAUUGUACCCAAAAAAAAAGAAAUUACAAAUUCACAUCAACCAAAUCAUCAACGUAGCAGGAAGAGAUUUAGUCAGCUAUGAGGAUGAAAAACUUACUAAUUUUGAAGUAGCUUCGAAGAUCAAGCAAUAAGAAGAUAUACUCGGUGUAAACGAUUCAUACUGUGCCAGCUUUUGGUACACUAAUUAGUUUUAAAGUUACUACAAAGUUUGAAUAUUUACAGAACUCUACAUAUGAGAAAUUGAUUCUAUACAUAUAUAUAUAUAUACACACACACACACAAUCUAAAGUUUUUUUUGUUGAUUUUACCUAGGUGCAGGUAAUGGCUAGUGCUUAUAGUGAUUGCAAUAGGCAAUUUUGAAUUGUUGGUAUAAGUUGGAGGCUCGAUAGAAUUUUGGCAUAAUAACCAUAGAGUCAAUGCUAAAGGUGAGUAUUAGAAGACAUCGUUGAUCGCAAGACAUAUAUCAAAAGAAACAAAUCAAUAAAGUAGUUAUUAUUCAAGCCAAUAAAGAAGACGAGUUGUUUAAUUAUUAGUUUGACAAGUUAUUAUUAUAUUUUGUUGUUAUUAUGGUAAUAAUAGCAAUGGCUAUUGUAACAUUUUAUAUUAUCGACAAGUCCAGCGUUCUCCAUAUGCACUUUGCAGUAAAAGAGAAUGUUGAGAUUUAUUGUCAAGUCUUAAUCUUAUUAGGAUUUCUAUUUAGCCGGUUAUUAUUUAUGGUACCAAUAUGCCUCUUUUGAGUUCCUUACAUUAAGAUACACGCCAUAUAAGAUGCGGCAAAAAAGAAGCCCUCUCCAUACAAUUGCCUCCAUCAAAGGAUUUUUGUUCCGGUCAUCAUCCAAAUCUUCUGGUGGUUUAAUAAUGGCUCCCACUGCCAAUGGGGCCAGAGCCAUUAGCAUGGGGCACGAGAGGGACCAUCUUCAGACCUGCCACGGGAUGAUGGCGACAACGCUCACUUCUAAGUGAUGUAGGAGAGGUAGGGGCCCAGUGGAGUCCAACCCACGAAGGCAGGUUAACCUUUUUUUUUUUUUAUAUUCCUUCAGGGAGGGCGCUUUCAAUUCUCCACCCAACACCUUCUCCACCUUGGAAGGUUUUUGUCUUCGUUUUCGUAUCAAGGUUUUCAAUAGAAUAUAAUAAUUCUAAAGCUAAAUUUAAUUAACAUAAGAAAGCACACUUGGGCGGAAUGUUGUUGAAAGAUUACGCUAAUUGUGGGACGUUUUCUUCUCCCCGUAACAGCCAUGGGAUUUUGUGUAUCCAGCCCAGGCAGUUCAGCUAAAAGAAGUGGGAAAAAGGAAAAUCGAUGUCGUAAGCGUGCGUUCUUGGGUCGUAAAGCUGGACGCCGAGCAUCCGGGGGAACAGCAAAGGUAGGAAGCGCGCCCCACGUCCGCAUGGUAUGCAAGUCUCUUGGCUGUCUGCAGUCAUGCGGGCAACCAACCAUCUCCAAGAACAACCACCGCAGCGGCUCUCAUUUUAUUGCUCCCCUGAAGGAUGCCAAAAAAAAUUUCAGUAUUUGUGAGGUCUAAUGCGAAAAAUUCAGCAUAGACCUCCCGAGGUGCAUCCAUUUUUUCUGCAGACCUCAAAAAUGAUGGAACCGUGGAAACUAGUAAAGGGCCCUGCACUAGAGACCAGGGCACGCGAUGCCAGCCAGACUUCCCACGAAGCUAGAAAUAAGUUUUUGGAGUUUUUACAACACAUGGGCAGUUACCCAGAUGCCAGAACACACAAUAAAAAAUCCCCAGUUAACCAGUCUCAAAGAUAAAAAAAGCAACAAUUAUUUCUGCACCAUUUUCCCUAUGCCUGCUCUUCAGGAGAGAACAGAUUUACAAGAGAAUACACAUGCAGAUACAUAUCCACACACAUCUUGAAAGAAGCAAAUUCCUUGUCAACUGUAGCCAGGAUUCGGUUCCUCGUUGAGUUACAAACGGAGGACCCAUGCGGCUCAGCUACUAACCUACCCUACUACAUAUGGUGAUGGGAGCGAGACUUUUUUAACCUACAGAGAUAAGAGGCACCUCCUUCCCUUCGGCUGGUUCUCCUUUGAGAAAAAACAGCCACAAUAGCAAUGGCAUCCAACAUUACCUAUGUACCACUCAAAGUUGCUUCGGAAUGGGCAUGGUUCCCAUCGUCAGCAUGCUUCCCAUUUACUUGUGGCCUCUGUCUCUGGGGGGAAAAAAAUCACAUGUAGAUACUUCAGAGAAAAUAAAAAAAUGGUCGAAAAUAAUGAUGAAUACACCACUCAGGAUAGAUAUGUGGAUACUAAAGAGAAUCAGCAAGAAAAAUGUGUCUGCUUAAGAUUCCUGACCUAUUGAUGAUGAGAUACGACCUUACCCCAUGCCAACUUAACUUUUCCACCAACUAAUUUGUAAGGAAAAUUGAAAAGAAAUAAAUUAACUAGGCAAUGAAAGUAAUUGUGCUAAAAUAAAUUUCCACAGAAACAGUAGAUAACCCACCGCACCCUUAAUUUGGUCAAUCUAGUAGCAAACAGAACCUUCACAGCCUGCACAGUUCCAUUAUAAUGUUUCUUUUAGUUUUAAAGCACCAUCUCCUUGCAUCUUAUUGCUGGUUUAGUCUUAAUGUACUGUAUUUGUAGUUCCUUGUUUAACAUUCGUUUCUAUGCCAUCGUUCCCAUGUCAGCAGCUUCCAAAAAGUAACCUAUCGGAUUAAGGCAUUCCCCCUAGUGACAGUGGAAUUUGUAUAAAUAGGAAACAAGAGCAGCUCUUCAAUUGCAGCAGUGUUCGCAAGCAAAGGUGAAACAAUAAAAACUCAAGAUUGACUCAUAAAAACUCAAAAUGAAGUAACCUGAUUUUCUUCAGAGAACAUGACCUCAUUACUUAACCAUAUUAAAAUCAACUUCUCCAUGAGAAGAGAGCAAUGUACUAAACCUGCUACAUACCCAAUCAGUAGCGUCCCCUGAAGUCCCGUUCAGUAGCUUGUGGUUCUCUUCUUUGAAUCUGCUGUCCUUUUCUUUGACACUCAAGGGUAGCAAUUGCAGGGAUCCACCAGUACGAUCUGGCAUUUCUGCAAAAUGGCAAUCUGCAUAUUACAAUCUCUACUUCCCAGCACAAAACAUGAUAGCUCAAAAAAUUACUUCAAAAUUCACCUGGAAGUUUCUUAUCAACAAAGAAUACCACCAAAUUAACAGUAUACCUACAGACAAGAAAAGGAAAAAGAAAAUUCAAAACAAAGCAAAAGCAAAAAUGCAAACAGAAAUUAAUACUGCUCUAGUGAAAUAUUCUACCAUGCAACAACAACAUCUACUGUGUAAUGCUUGCGUGAAGCUACUAUAAGAAGACUCUGAGAGAUGGCCAAUAACCAGCCAAGCAGCUUGACAAACCUGCAAGAACAUACAGACAAUUUCGAUAUGUACAUAUAACAUGUAGUAGUAGUUCUGAAUAUGCUUUCUCCCAAUGAAUUUGACGAUACCAAAAGCAAUUUUUUUUUAAAAAAUUCCAAUGCAUUAACUGAGUCCAAUCCAAGAUCAAGAUGACACAUCUUUUACCUUUUAGAACCAUACUUAUGGUAUGUACGGACAAACACCAGAGUAAAUAUCAUAUGCGAGGAAAAUAUCAGAUCACCACAACCAUAAAUGACUCCUCGAGGAACUGGAAACAAAAUAAGCCAAACAAACAUAUAGUUAAUAGGAUGACACACUUCUCAAGGAUAGGUCAAAACCAAAAAAGGGGCACUUACAGUUAAUGAGAAGCACUUCAAGUAUAUUACGUGGUGGAGGCAGUCUGGCAAGCUCUGAACCCUGAAGGAAUUCAUUAAAAAAAAACAUCUCAGCUAGUGUAGUUUCAGAAAUAAUUUUUUAAAUUAAAAUGUUUUCAGGAGUUAAACGAUAUUUAACUGUUGAUAAACAUGAUACAGGUUCUUACCUCACGGCAAUGAUAGUUAGGACCAGGAAGUUGGGUGGAAUAGAAUGUGAUGAUCCGUAAAACCUGAGAAGCCUGCAAGGAACGUAUUUCACAUUAGAUCUAGCAAGACAAAGGAAUAAAAGAAAACAGCAAAAAGAUAUGUGAACUUACAACUAGAAAUGCCAACACUCUGCACCAGAGUAGGACGGUGUAAAAGCGUUUGCUGUGAUAGACAAAAGGAUGAAAUGUCCACUGCAAUAGAAGAAAUACCAUGUCACAACAACAAAUACUCAGAAACCAGAUACAGCCAAUGGUAUCAUGUAACCUAAACAAUCACAAAGAGAGAGUGAAAAAUAAAUAAGGUUGGCAGGAGGUACAAAACAAAAACAACUAUGAGCACUUUCAAAGAAACAUCUGCAUGCAACGAGGUACAAAACAAAAACAACAAUGAGCUCUUUCAAAGAAACAUCCGCAUGCAACGAGGUACAAAACGAAAACAACAAUGAGCUCUUUCAAAGAAACAUCCGCAUGCAAUGGUGACAAUCAAGGGGGAAAAGUCAGAAUUAACACAUUAACUGAUCAGAACAAGUGAAGAUUCCAGCACAUAAAAAGUAACAGCAUAAACACAUCAGGAAAAACAUUAAAAACAUAAGUUAUCAACAAAAAGGAUUACAAACUACAGGAAAACUGCGCUAAAAGGCUAACCAUAUCCACCAUAAAGUGAUGGCAAUCACAACUAAUCAAUUAAUAGUACUUGAUAAAAUUGUAAGCAGUUGCAGCAACAGAAGUUUGAGUCUGAAUUUCAAAGUGUUUACACAAGAGAUGUAAAGGCUGCCUGCCAAAUAUUGGGUGCCACGCAUAUCUUGCUGGAAGGAGAUCCAAAUACAUUUUUUUAAUGGAUUUCAAAUCACAGUAGCAGGCAUCAGUGUUAUCUCCAUUUGCUUUUUGAUUUAUGGGACUUGAUAGAUAGUCUACACGUCCCAUAUCUUCCGCAAAGGUAACCAGCCAGCUGAUUGGCUGGCAGCGCAUCCAAUAGAGACUAACAAGGAGUUUUUGUGGAGUGAUCCUACCAAUCAUAGUCUUGCUUUUUUGGUUCAAGUGAAUGCUAGGGGUUGUACAAACACUAGCAUGAUGUAAUCUGGGUUCCAUCCCCCUCUUCAAGUGAGAUAGAGAAAGAAAGGUGAGACCAAUCAGAAUUAAUUUUUACAAUUGAAAGUGUUGCAAUCCUGUGUUAUAUGUCUUUCACAAAAUAAGUAGAAUCCAUCGCUUUUAGAGUGUUUUCACAUGCAAAAUGCAGAUUUAUUUCCACACAGGAAAUUCUUAAUUAUUUUUAAUGGAAGACAGAUUCCCAAAAGGCAUAGGAUUUCACUCCAUCGCUGCCAUUCUGCAUUAUUGUACGUCUGAUCUCGCUUCUUUCUCAUUUCACUUCUUCUUAGGGCACCAUGGGUAUCUCAUCUUCAGGCAGUAAAGCACACCUUGUCUUAACUGGGAACCUUCAAUCAUGGUUUAACUAACCAUUUCAUUCGCCUCAUCUGCUGAAGACCUCGGGUUACCAUCCACCCUCACCACUGUUAACUGCACGAUGACUAAAAAAUAUUUUUCAUUUUGCUACUGGGACUGCAUCCUUCAGGUCACUCUCCCAGUUCACUGUCCACUACCAAGCAGGAAAUAAGAUAUUGUCUAGCGGCUGCAACCACUACUGAAAUCCACAUCUUCAUUACUUUAUUUGAGAUGUAUCACACCUCCAUUUUGACUUCAACACCAUCAAAGCACCACCAAAAUAUAACUAUAACUGAUAAUUUUCUUCUUCAGGACAUUUGAAUUAUUUUGCUCAGAGAAAAAUAAAUGCAUAUUAACCAAAGAAUUGCUUAUCUUAUUCAAUUCCUAUCAGUGCAUCAAGCUGUCCCUGCAUAGGCAAUCCAGUGCUUAGAUUGAAUGGAGUUAAAAAAGAAUGUAAAUAGCAUAUGCCAUGUGUGUUUCCCCAUGACGUGACAUAUAAGAGGAAACAAUAUGAAUGUGAACUGACAAAAGCAACACCUAUGGACACAUAUAUGCAUAUGCAACCUCCUACAGUUGUAUAAAUCCACUUCCAUCCAUUACCAUAGACAUGUUUUUCACUUUCCUCACUAUAUCUUAGAGGAGUUGUUAAUUGAUCCCAAUAGAAAAUAACGUCCACAGGCUACAAACGUAUGACUCAGUGGUAACAAAACGAAAAAAAUACAUGCAUAGUCCUUUUUUGAAUGUAGAAGGAAAUUUAGAGCCCAAAGAAAGAAGAAAGUGAAUAAACAUGACUAAUUUCAAAUAACUGAAAAACUGCUUUAAGAAGCAUUAUUCUCCAUGCACAAAUUCCAAAAAGGUCAAACAGCAACUUAAUUGCUACAAGGAUAACCUGGUGCAGCAACUUAUAUAAGACAGAUUCAUGAAGAUAAAAAAAAAGAGAGAUCCAUACCAGCACAAAGGAUAAAAAGAUAAAGGUGAAUACGCUCUCACUGAUGUACCCUCUUUCUUUUCCAAGCUCCUAUAUUGCAAAGCACAGAAAGCAACAACAUUUCAGUUCUAGAACUAGACUAAGAUUCCACAUCUUUAACAUAUAUUAUUAAGCAAGGCAGCAGAUUGCACAUAAUAUACUCACUGGAAGGAACAUAAAUCCAAGAUCUUGUAGAAUUGGUCCAGGUCUGUGUAAAUAAUGAACUCCUCGAGCAGCCAACCCAUGAAUAUACUAGUGAUAGUCAAAAUCAUGGCAUAAGUCUGCAGAUUAAUCCAUACCUUGGCCAAAAAAAUUAUAAUAAACACUUGAUGAAUUAAGAUAUAUCAAAUAAACAAGACAUAUUGCAUGCAUAAGCAUACGAUUACUGCAUGCCCUUUACACCAAUCACCAAUUGUACACACAGAACUAAGCCACAGACAUAAUAAAACUACCUGCCUACCAGCAGAAACAUAAUUUUUUUAAAAAAUCAUAUGAAAAAACUAUCAUAUCAUAAUAGCAGUUUGGCUUAUUAUAAUAAUCACCAUUUAUAGACUUAGCAAUAAGUAAUAAACACACUACCUAGCUGCCAGCUAGCAGAAGCUUUAUUGAGAAAACUAAUAUGAACUUAACGAUAUCUCACCUAGUUCGGACCAUCCGAAACAUGAUGAACAAAGCUAACAGUAUAUGAAUAAAGCUAACAAUAUCAACAUGCAAAGAGAUUUAAAUUGGUGAAUCAAGGUUUGAUACUAGAAUAGUUGUGAAAAGAGAAUUGUUCUUUUUUCCAAUUACUACAUUCACAUCAUAGAUAUUACUAUCUCAAAAGAGAUUAUUUUUAACAAAAUAAUGAAACAGAGAAAUUAUUAUGCAACAGAGAUUGUUGUGGUAUUUCUAUCAACAUAACCCAGCAAUAAAAAGUAAGGAUGCAUCAGAAAGAUAUAACAACCACUUCCUGUGACCAAGUAUGCAUCAGAAAACCAUGUAAAAAUUUUCUCGAGUACACAAUGUGCAAAACAAAAAAAAGAUGGCGAAUUUGCAAAAGACGAAACAUGCUAAGUUCCUAAGAAGGGAGAAUAUUGCAUGUAUAUAGGAUUCAGGAGUUGUAUUGAAAAAGUAAGGAUGGUAGCUAGAGAUAGCCAAUAGUAAAAUAAAUAAUGUAGAGAAGCUAAUAGGAGUUGCGCAAAUUAAGAACAAAAUGAUGAAAAUUGAUUGAGAUGAUAUAGAUGUGUACAAUAGAGAUCUGAAGAGACUCUAGUAAGGAGAGGUACUUUGGUAUAUGCUGAAGGUGGCAAGGAAAGGAGAGGAAGAUCUAAGAUAACAUGGAUAAAGAUUGUGAUGAAAGAUAUAAAGAAACUAGAAUAACAUCAGAGAUGACCCUAAUUGGAAAACUUGGUCAAUGAGGAUUUAUAAGCCGAACCUAAGUAGCUGGGAAAAGACUAGAUAGAUAUGGUUAUAGUAAAAGCAUAAAAAAUAAUCUUUAAGUUUCAAGUGGAAUGGUAGAAUGUUGUGGCACAAACAACCUGUCAAUGGAAUGCCCUUCUUUUAUUUUUUUCGUGGUAGAAUCUCAUCAAUGGAAACUUUGAAAAAUGAUAUUCUACCACUUUCCUGGGUUAGUCCAACUCUGCCAUCACAAUGAGCGACAAAUUUCUUACUUGAACAGGAAUUUUGAUUUACAAAGUUUCUACGAAAAUGACAAUACAUGAUCGGCGAAGACAAGAGAUCCUCCAAUUAGCAAAUAAAGUUGCAUCCACCACUCAAACAAGUCCAACCUGAAGGAGCAUUAAAUUGAAUGAAAGCUAUAGACAUCCACACUAAGUGAGGAUUGUUGCACAGUAUAGAGCACCGAGGAGACAUCACCAUGCUUCCAUCAACUCACAAUUUAAGAAAAUGCCAAGGAAUAAACAGUACAUGUAUCGAGAUACGAAACAACACACCCAAUCCAGCAUUAAAGCAUAAAUAUCCCUAGAANN